UACGGGGGGGGCAAGCGUUGUUCGGAAUUACUGGGCGUAAAGGGCUUGUAGGUGGCCAACUAAGUCAGACGUGAAAUCCCUCGGCUUAACCGGGGAACUGCGUCUGAUACUGGAUGGCUUGAGUGUGGGAGAGGGAUGCGGAAUUCCCAGUGUAGUGGUGAAAUACGUAGAGAUUGGGAAGAACACCAGUGGCGAAGGCGGCUAUCUGGACGGUUUCUGACGCUAAGACGCGAAAGCGUGGGGAGCAAACAGG
rnacentral:rRNA from 1 species